AAAGGACACAGACACGUGAAAGAUGCUGACCAUCGCAUCUACAAAACACCACGUGUUCAUCGCUAUGUUCUCUGCCUCAGAGAAGCCACCUACCAUUUCUAGUGGAGUCAAAAGGUGGUGUUGGAGAACUAGCAGCAUUGAGGAAUGGAAAUGGACUACUCUGGGAAUGCUGGCUGCAUUAUGGACAUCGUUUUGGUUUAUGUACUCACCGAUCCUUAGAGCUGCUGCCACACAGAGAACUCUGGACUGCAGGACUGGGCAACUGACCACUGUGGUAUUUCUCAGACUUUGUGUGUAAUAAAGAAGGAACCUCAAACUCCCAGGGUCCAACUCAAAUGUCUGCCAUCUCUGAGUCCAGAAAGGAAAACAAGUAACACAAUGGUCCUUCUCAGCCUCUAUCUGGAAUCCAAGCCAAGAUGAACUUUGUCUUGCUCAUCAGUCUACCCCCAAAUCUAGAAAGGUG